rnacentral:lncRNA from 10 species
AAAAGAUGGAGGAGCUCUAAGUUCUUGACUUUUUAAAUUUUAGGUCCUGCCCUACCAGUGUCAUUUUCUAUUAUCAAGAUCCACAUGAUACCCUUAAAUGCUUUCUGUAAAUGCCCUCAUUUGUUUGUUUUCUGUCCUUCGCAGUAAAAUAGUACAUCCUAAAUUAUAUUCAUAAUGGACAACCAAGUUUUCAAUAACUGUUAAAUUAUGUUUAAAUAGUAAUUACCACGGCAAUAACUUUGGAAGGUUUGGAAGGCAAUAGACUAAUUUCAUUGCUUAAAAAUAUUGUUUAACAAGAGAAGAAAAUGCAGAGACUCACUUCUAUUGAAAAUUUACUAUGUACCCAACACUGCUCUAGGUUCUCUUACUACAUACUUUUAACUCUUUUCAUCUGUGUAUCAUUUUUUUCCAGAAAGAACUGAAUAAUAAUCAUCAAAGAGGUAUUCAAGAACAUGAAUUGAUUUUGUUGCACGCAGGAUAAUGUUCUUGUUUAAGAAACAGCAUGAAGGCCACUGUGGAUGAUGAAGGUUGAAAAAUAAAUGAAUAAAUGAGUGAGAAAAUGAAUAAUAGAAGACAAAGUCAACAGGUUAAAAGAAGCAAAGCCAGGUGAUGCCAACUGCUGUCUUAUCUUUUCUCUAGGGAUUUGAAAACUUGUACAGUAAGAACAUGCACAUUAGUUACUCAAAUACAAAAUGUGAAGAGUUCUUUGGGGGAGAAUCCUGGAGUCAGCCCCCUCACAGUGAUGUGAAUAUUUUUCUAUUGAAGAGAUCAAAAGAAUGUGCCAUAAGAACAUCUCUUCAGCAAAUGAUAUGAUUAAGAAAGUGAAAAGCAGAGACCCUGAAGCACUUCUGGUUUGGACCUGCCCAAUAGCUGUUUUCUCUAUAAACUCUGUAAAGUUGUAUUGUGCCUCAGACAGAUGUCAAAGUCUCUAACAACGACUGGUUUGGAGCACUGUCUUCUGCUUUCUAUCAGUAAGAUACCCUGAUAUGAGUCCAACCUUUUGGAUGUGAAGCCUUAAUAGCACCCCUCUAAGCUGGUGCUCCAAUAGACCUAUCCUAGAUGGCCCAUUCUAACUCCUUUCAACAGAAGGUUAAAACUGAAGCAAGACAAAGUGAUGAAAACAUCUUAAUGAACUGGAAAACCUCAUGCCGGUGACUUGGGGAAAAGAAAGUCUUACUUCAAACAUCCUAGAAGCAUUAGAAAGCUACAGGAAACAAGAUGCCUUCUAGUAAGGAAGUCACACACCCUUCUAGAAAACUUGAUAGAAAGAUUGAGAGAGGUUCAGCUGGAAAAGGAGGGCAGACACCCAAAGAUGAUGUAGGCCAAGGAGUGCGUCACAGCUAGCAUACGGUGUCCAAAUAUACUACAGAGCAUAACUUGACCUUUAAAGAAGGAAAAAUCUUGCCAAAGAUUGAGUCAACUUAUACUCUGCAUCUCCUCC